AUUGAACGCUGGCGGCAGGCCUAACACAUGCAAGUCGAGCGCGGCGCGGACGGGUGUGAUAUCUGUGGAAACGUGCGUGACGGAGGGGUAAAACUAGUGUAAACGAUAGAUAACACCGCAUAAUAUCAGUUGCGCACAGAUGGGAUUAGCUAGUGGGUGGGGUAAAGGCUCACCUAGGCGACGAUCCCUAGCUGGUCUGAGAGGAUGACCAGCCACACUGGAACUGAGACACGGUCCAGACUCCUACGGGAGGCAGCAGUGGGGAAUAUUGCGCAAUGGGCGCAAGCCUGAUGCAGCCAUGCCGCGUGUGUGAAGAAGGCCUUCGGGUUGUAAAGCACUUUCAGCAGGGAGGCGUUACCCGCAGAGGAAGCACCGGCUAACUCCGUGCCAGCAGCCGCGGUAAUAC
rnacentral:rRNA from 1 species